UACGUAGGGUGCAAGCGUUAAUCGGAAUUACUGGGCGUAAAGCGUGCGCAGGCGGUUGUGCAAGACAGAUGUGAAAUCCCCGGGCUUAACCUGGGAACUGCAUUUGAAACUGGCGGGCUUGAGUGUGGCAGAGGGGGGUGGAAUUCCGCGUGUAGCAGUGAAAUGCGUAGAGAUGCGGAGGAACACCGAUGGCGAAGGCAGCCCCCUGGGCCAACACUGACGCUCAGGCACGAAAGCGUGGGGAGCAAACAGG
rnacentral:rRNA from 1 species